AGUGAGUGGAGAUACUAAGAAGCAAAUCAUGGCCCCUUUCCCAAUGCACAGGUUGAGUCUCUCAACAUUCUCAAUAGGAAGAAGAACCCCCACGCUACCUCCUUUCAUUCCCAUCACUGGCCAGAAGUAAACCAUUUCAUCUUGGCAAUAAAUAUUGACCGAGCACCAACCGUCUACAAGGCACUGCUCUGUGCCCUUGGCAUGCGAGGGUGAUCAAUACAUUCUACUGGAGACAGACGGGCAAAAAUCAAAAAGUGGGAGAAGGUACCUUUUCUGUGAGCUCUCUACCAUUGUAAGCUCUGAUAUCCUUACUCCAGGCAAGAGGGCCCUCAACACUGUCUAUUGAAAGAACAAACAGCUUUUCAUUCCUCUGGAAAAGCUCCACUGCCAAUUUUGCACUUGUGCCAAGCUUUGGAGUAACAUGGGGUGUUUUAACAAUAGGAAGCGUGAAGAGAGCAAGAAAGCUGACAAAAUGGGCAGACUGUCACAGAACAACGCUCCGUGAAGCGGGUGGACUCAAGACGGUUUCUAGGGAACGCUGAUCUAGAGAGGCUUCCGAUUCCUUCCAUCCGGUCCUCUCAAAGUUUUAAGGAGCAGAAGAUCCCACUGCCAUUCAAAGAGUUUCCAGAUACUGAAAGAAAAUGAAAACCACCCUGAUGUUAGCAGUGCACAGCAUCCCUGCAGACAGCAUCCCUGCUGCUAACCUUCACCCCACUCUGUUCCAAUGUUUGGGGGAAACCCAGAACCCCCAAAUCAUGAACCAUUACCACUCACAAAGAAACAGAAUAAUAACUAUUAAUAAAAUGUUAGUAAA
rnacentral:lncRNA from 1 species